rnacentral:lncRNA from 1 species
ACAAAAGGGCCCAUUGUUCAUAUUUUAAAGGUAAAGGCGGAGGGAGCAAACUGACUGAAAGCCCAGAGGACAGACUCCGGCUUGGGCCACUGACAUUUGUCAAAUGGCCCAUCUGUCCUUGGUGUGCUCUGGUUCUCUUUAUCUAAUGACAUAAUGAAGCCAGAUAAUGUCAUAGUAAGAGAAACCCACUAGAGACCUUGAUCUCUAUUUCCAACUGGGGUGGGGACAGGAGACCCUCAGAAGCAGCUGGCCCCCAGGGCCCCAAAAAGCUGGAGUGUCACCACAAAGCCACAGGCUUUCUGACCAGGCUGACACUCCUUCCCCCUGCAGGGGCCAUGGCAGAACAUAGAGGAAGGACACAAGGACUAAACAAGGCCUCAGGGACCCAAGGCCCUGGUUCCUUUGACGAUGGUGACUGAUCACUACCCUGCUGCCGAGACAGUGGCCCAAUCUCUCUUCCACUUGGACCCCAAAUUUUGUCAUCUGCAAAAUAAGCUCAAGUGAGAACACCUCCCUUUUGACAGCCUCACCUUUUG